UAAGGUACUCUUUUAGAGUAACGGCAGGAAAAAUGACUAAGGUUUCGACUAUGUCAAAGUAUCCUUGAAAGUGCCACAGUGACGAAGCGAUGUGGGAAACUCCAUCGGUGGAACGCGGUAAACCCCUCGAGCGAGCAACCCAAACAAUGGUAGGGGCGCUCUUCUAAAGGAAAUGAACGAGUAGAAGAGGCAGAGUUUACUCUGCAGAUAGAUGAUGACCGUCACCAAUUUUUCCUGAAGAAUUGGUGAUACAGAACAUGGCUUAUAGAA
rnacentral:RNase_P_RNA from 1 species